AGAGUUUGAUCCUGGCUCAGAUUGAACGCUGGCGGCAGGCUUAACACAUGCAAGUCGGGCGGGGGAGGUUACUUCAGUAACUGACCUAGCGGCGGACGGGUGAGUAAUGCUUAGGAAUCUGCCUAUUAGUGGGGGACAACAUUCCGAAAGGAAUGCUAAUACCGCAUACGCCCUACGGGGGAAAGCAGGGGAUCUUCGGACCUUGCGCUAAUAGACGAGCCUAAGUCGGAUUAGCUAGUUGGUGGGGUAAAGGCCUACCAAGGCGACGAUCUGUAGCGGGUCUGAGAGGAUGAUCCGCCACACUGGGACUGAGACACGGCCCAGACUCCUACGGGAGGCAGCAGUGGGGAAUAUUGGACAAUGGGCGCAAGCCUGAUCCAGCCAUGCCGCGUGUGUGAAGAAGGCCUUUUGGUUGUAAAGCACUUUAAGCGAGGAGGAGGCUCCUUUAGUUAAUACCUAAAGUGAGUGGACGUUACUCGCAGAAUAAGCACCGGCUAACUCUGUGCCAGCAGCCGCGGUAAUACAGAGGGUGCGAGCGUUAAUCGGAUUUACUGGGCGUAAAGCGUGCGUAGGCGGCUUUUUAAGUCGGAUGUGAAAUCCCUGAGCUUAACUUAGGAAUUGCAUUCGAUACUGGAAAGCUAGAGUAUGGGAGAGGAUGGUAGAAUUCCAGGUGUAGCGGUGAAAUGCGUAGAGAUCUGGAGGAAUACCGAUGGCGAAGGCAGCCAUCUGGCCUAAUAC
rnacentral:rRNA from 1 species